UCAGGAUGAACGCUAGCGACAGGCCUAACACAUGCAAGUCGAGGGGCGAGCACAAGGAGCAAUCUGAGGUGGCGACCGGCGCACGGGUGAGUAACACGUAUGCAACCUGCCUGUAAGCGGGGAAUAACCCGUUGAAAGACGGACUAAUACCGCAUAAUACUAAAUUACUGCAUGGUAAUUUAUUUAAACAUUUAUGGCUUACAGAUGGGCAUGCGCAUGAUUAGCUAGUUGGAGAGGUAACGGCUCCCCAAGGCAACGAUCAUUAGGGGUUCUGAGAGGAAGGUCCCCCCACACUGGUACUGAGACACGGACCAGACUCCUACGGGAGGCAGCAGUGAGGAAUAUUGGUCAAUGGACGAGAGUCUGAACCAGCCAAGUCGCGUGCAGGAAGAAUUGUCCUAUGGAUUGUAAACUGCUUUUGCAGGGGAAUAAAGUGCAUCACGUGUGAUGUUUUGUAUGUACUCUGCGAAUAAGGAUCGGCUAACUCCGUGCCAGCCGCGGC
rnacentral:rRNA from 1 species